GUAGGUGGCAAGCGUUGUCCGGAAUUAUUGGGCGUAAAGCGCGCGCAGGCGGGUUCUUUAAGUCUGAUGUGAAAGCCCACGGGCUCAACCGUGGAGGGUCAUUGGAAACUGGAGAACUUGAGUACAGAAGAGGAAAGCGGAAUUCCACGUGUAGCGGUGAAAUGCGUAGAGAUGUGGAGGAACACCAGUGGCGAAGGCGGCUUUCUGGUCUGUAACUGACGCUGAGGCGCGAAAGCGUGGGGAGCAAACAGGAUUAGAUACCCUGGUAGUCCACGCCGUAAACGAUGAGUGCUAAGUGUUAGGGGGUUUCCGCCCCUUAGUGCUGCAGUUAACGCAUUAAGCACUCCGCCUGGGGAGUACGGCCGCAAGGCUG
rnacentral:rRNA from 1 species